GUAGUCAUAUGCUUGUCUCAAAGAUUAAGCCAUGCAUGUCUAAGUAUAAACAAAUUCAUACUGUGAAACUGCGAAUGGCUCAUUAAAUCAGUUAUAGUUUAUUUGAUGGUAUCUUGCUACAUGGAUAACUGUGGUAAUUCUAGAGCUAAUACAUGCUGAAAAGCCCCGACUUCCGGAAGGGGUGUAUUUAUUAGAUAAAAAACCAAUGGGUGAAAGCCCUCUAUGGUGAUUCAUGAUAACUUCUCGAAUCGCAUGGCCUUGCGCCGGCGAUGCUUCAUUCAAAUAUCUGCCCUAUCAACUUUCGAUGGUAGAGUAGUGGUCUACCAUGGUAUCAACGGGUAACGGGGAAU
rnacentral:rRNA from 1 species